rnacentral:ncRNA from 1 species
ACAGAUAGAGGUGCGAUUUGUUAUCAGUAGCUUUCGGGUGUUAACUCCGGCGGGAGGAUACCGAAAGGGAAAGGAACGGUCGCCGAAGACAGAUAUCGGCGGAUAUCGGGUCUGGUAAACCGGAAUAAUAUCCGUUUUACUGUCGCUUUUGCGGAGAGCUAUCGA